rnacentral:rRNA from 1 species
CAGUAGCCACGGGAAUACGAAGGGGGCUAGCGUUGUUCGGAUUUACUGGGCGUAAAGCGCACGUAGGCGGAUCGAUCAGUCAGGGGUGAAAUCCCAGAGCUCAACUCUGGAACUGCCUUUGAUGCUGUCGAUCUGGAGUAUGGAAGAGGUGAGUGGAAUUCCGAGUGUAGAGGUGAAAUCCGUAGAUAUUCGGAGGAACACCAGUGGCGAAGGCGGCUCACUGGUCCAUUACUGACGCUGAGGUGCGAAAGCGUGGGGAGCAAACAGGAUUAGAGACCCCCGUAGUCCCUGUCUCUUAUAC